rnacentral:rRNA from 1 species
AUUGAACGCUGGCGGCAUGCCUUACACAUGCAAGUCGAACGGCAGCACGGGAGCAAUCCUGGUGGCGGAGUGGGCGAACGGGUGAGUAAUAUAUCGGAACGUGCCCAGUCGUGGGGGAUAACGUAGCGAAAGCUACGCUAAUACCGCAUACGAUCUAUGGAUGAAAGCGGGGGAUCGCAAGACCUCGCGCGAUUGGAGCGGCCGAUAUCAGAUUAGGUAGUUGGUGAGGUAAAGGCUCACCAAGCCGACGAUCUGUAGCUGGUCUGAGAGGACGACCAGCCACACUGGGACUGAGACACGGCCCAGACUCCUACGGGAGGCAGCAGUGGGGAAUUUUGGACAAUGGGCGCAAGCCUGAUCCAGCAAUGCCGCGUGCAGGAUGAAGGCCUUCGGGUUGUAAACUGCUUUGUACGGAACGAAACGGUGAGCUCUAAUACAGUUUGCUAAUGACGGUACCGUAAGAAUAAGCACCGGCUAACUACGUG